AAAUUACUAGUGUCUCUGAGUCUUACUGUGCUCAUCUGUAAAAUGGAAUUAUGAUGGAUAUGGAAUUAAAUGGAAUAAUGGAACACAUUAAUUUUAAUGUGUUACUUGGGCUCUGCCACAGUACUCAGAUAGUCGGUCAAGUAUAUUCUAGAUGUUUCUGUGAACAGGUAUUUUUUCAAGGUAAGAUUAACAUUUAAAUCAGUGGACUUCAAGUGAGGUAGAUUGCUCUCCAUGAUGUGGGUAGGGCUCAUACAAUCAGUUGAAGGACCUAAUAGAAAAAGACGGACAUCCCCUGAAUAAGAAGGAAUUCUGCCAGCAGAGUGCCUGUGGAUGUGAGCUGCAAUCUUUCCCUUGGGUGUCCAGUCUGCCAGCCCACCCUCCAGAUUUUGGACUUGCCAACCUCCACAAUCAUAGCCACGUACAAGACAGAUGGAGGACAAAGCCACCUAGAAGAUACUCGGAGGACAACCCUACCAAGUGAGAGAGCAGAGCCAAGCCCCAGGAAACAGACUAGACCCAUAGAGGAAAUCUUGCAGAAAAAAUGUAAAGAUGACAGAAAAGGUGCAGCUUAAUUGGAUGGACAAGUCAAAAAUCAUAUGACUAAGCAGAAAACCUGGGAAAUGUACCAUAUUACCAGACAAGAGCCUGUGGUAUAUUUUCUCUAGUCUGGACACUGUUCCAGGAACCACAGGAGAGAUGCAUCCUUGCAGAAGCCUUGGCAUUUGUCAAAAAAUGAGCAGUGUGGGGCAAUAGAGCCAGGCACCUGCAGGAGCCCAGGAAGUACUGGAUGGCAGCUGAUGGAUGGCCCCGAUGACUUUGGAAGCUCGGAUAUCUGUGCUGACUGCGUGCAGUGUCUCCUGUCUGGGGAUGAAGUGAGAGGACUCGUCAAUGAAAAAGCACAGCUGGCUCUGAGGUGACAUUUUCUAAAGCAGCCUUGGCAUACAACUACAUUUACCUGCCUUGGUUUACAGAAGGAAACGAGGCUGCUUCUACCCCACUUCCCUCAACGCAUCGUAGGUCUUGAGUCUUAUGUGAAUUGAUGUCUGGACUGACACAUUUUUGGGUAGAGCAUCCCCAACACACCAGCAGAUGGCUGGCACACCUGUUUUCCUGAGUCUUGGUUCAAAACACAAUUCAGCAUUUCACUUGUUCAGGAUUUCUGUGUCACAUUUUGCACCUUUCCUAGAGACUGUGCAGAAAGAUAAACUGUUUGUGAACACAAAUUAUUGUCAUUUUAAAAUAAUAACUUAUAUUAGUGUUUUUCACAUUUUUCACAUGACAGCUGUCUUAACUUGGGUCCUUAGAAACAAAACCUGAGCUAGGGAUUUUGUGCAAGUGAUGUAUGGCAGAGGGACUUGAUCUCAGAAGGAACCUGCAUGGGAACAAAGAGAGCGAGAUGGACAGGGGAAAAGUCAGGCAUGGAUAUAGGCUCCAGUGAACUCUAGAUUGGCUUCAUCUGGCUUGAAAUUUCUGAAACACAAAAUGUACCAUGUAGCUGCUCCCCUUGAGGUCAGGAGCUCAUCUUUUCUACUCACAUAUUGGUCAGUCAUCAUCAUUUCCUGGAGGGAGGGGAAAACCUCCAGGCAUUUCCAGGGGGCUCCCCAGAGGGCAGUUCUCCUGCAAAGGGCAUCACUGCAAACUAUUAGCAGCCACAGUCAAAGCAACUGGAAGACAGGUGCACCAUUGCUCAAUGGGGUCUGAGUGGGAACGCACAGCACCACCACAGCCCAUUAUAUGUAGGUAAUUACUUUGCAUUGUAACUUAUACACAUAGAUACACAAAUAGAGCUAUAUACUAAAAAAAAAAAAGUUUCCCAAAUAAUGCUUAUUUAUCUACCUGUGGGUCGAUGUGAAUAAUUUAAGUGAUUUUUAUUUUAUUCUAGUCUAUUUUAAUUCAUAAAAAAAAUCAGUAGUCAUGGCUCACUAUUAGGUGGCAACCUGCAGUUUGUAAAAGCUUGAUUUGUAGCUAAAUACUCUUUAAAAGCCAAUCAUUUUUAAGUGAUUUAAUUAGAUUUAUAGUGAUACUU